ACUCGAGUCUUUGACGCAAGUUGCGCCUGAAGCCAUUAGGUUGAGGGCACGCCUGCCUGGGUGUCACACAUUGUCACCCCAAUGCAAAUGUGCAUUGAGGUGAAAGUUGGCUUCCCGCGAGGCAUUCCUCGUGGUUGGUUGAAAACGAAGUUAAUCGCGAAGUCCCUCGUCAUAAAUGGUGGAUGAGUAAAUCUCGAGACCAAUCGUGACUGUGGUACUUUGGGGAUGUAAUUGGUUGGCUCUGUUGUGUUUUCCGUUCAUGUUGAAGAAGACGCUUUUAUCGAGACCUCAGGUCAGGCGGGGCUACCCGCUGAGUUUAAGCAUAUCAAUAAGCGGAGGAAAAGAAACUAACAAGGAUUCCCCUAGUAACGGCGAGCGAACCGGGAACAGCCCAUCAUGAGAAUCGAUCGCCUUCGGUGUUCGAAUUGUAGCAGA
rnacentral:rRNA from 2 species